CUGCGUUCUUUCGUUGGCCGGCCACACCGACCCGGUCAAUUGUCCACGCGAUGGCGUUAAAUUGACCGAAAUAGACGUACAAGGGUCGGCCGGAUUGCGAUUGCCUCGAGCGCUUUCAAUGACUGCCAAGAGUGCUCGACUUCCGCCGCUUUCACGACGCCGUGGCUCGCGAUACGACGACGACGACGUGGCCCAUCCGCGCGCGAUAAUGACGCAGGUCGACAAAAUGGUCGAAACAUCUCCCCUCCCCGCGCGAAUCGAUACAAUGCCCGUUUGAUUUUUCGUCGCCGGGGGGAUUUCCUUUGUGAAUGGCUGGCUACGCGCGCAUUCUUUGCCGACGUCUCUCGAACGUGGAGGGAAUGGAUUUAUUUUGGAUUUAUCUUGUUGGGAAGUGGUAGGGAAUUUAGGAAAGAUUUAGAGGACAAUUUUGGAAUUUUUAGCCGGGGAAGAUUUUUAAAGUGACACGUUGAAUGAUAAAUGUGAGGGGAGAUUGUAUAGAGAGAUCCAAGUUGGAUAAUAUUUGAUUAUAAUUAAAUAUUUGCGUUUUUGAUUGAGUUUUGAAGAGUAAACUGAGGGAUGAUAAUGAAAAUGAAGUGUUAAGGGGAGAUUAGAUAAAGGGACUCGUGAUUUUGCGAGUUUUGCAAAAGGACGAGGAGAAUAUUUUUAAGAAAAUAAUGAUUAACUGGAAAACGGAGAAAUAAGCAAGUGUAUCAAAAUGCAAAUUUCAAGUGGCAAAUCAUAAUCUUCAUCCAUAAAAAGAUUCUAAAAGAGUGCUGAUUAUAUCACAUUUAUAAGUUGCAUUUAUAAGUUGCAACAAAUAUAAAAUACGUUUGUUAUUGCAUAGUAAAUGUACAAUUCAUCGUGUUCAUAAAUGACAAAUAUUUCGGCUACCAAAAUUAAUUAUAGAUAUAUUUUGAUAUAUUCGAUCAGUACAAUUCAUUUGUAUAAUUCAACACAAAUGGAUAAUUUAAUACAUUUCUAUAAGAAAGUAAAAAUUAAUAUUGUAUAUUCCAACACAAAAAUAAAUAAUUAUGUACGUAUAAACAUUAAAAUUAUUUGCAUAUACAUUAUUGUUCUUCGCGUUCAUUGUUACAAUUUAAAAUGAGAGACAAAAAAGAUACACACACACACACGUAAGAAAAAACAAACUCUUGUGAAAAGUGCACAAAGUUAACCGGUAAUGAGACACUUACAAAAACGAACACUGUGCUCCACAAAAGUGAAAAGGGUACUUUGCAGAGAAAUUUUUACGGAACGCUACUUGUUGUAACAAUUUUCUAAACUUAUAACGACUUCCGGUGAAACUUGGCCAGGAUACGUCAGUUCCAGAUGGACGAUAACGGAAAUCGGGAGAAGGGAAAAAGAAGAAGGGAGAAAAUACGAUAACAAUGGAAAUCCCGAGGAGAUAGUUAAUGAAUUUCCCGAUGUUCGGAGUAUUUAGCCAAGACGUAAUGAAAAUACGAAGACAAUAAAGCAAAAUAACUGUUUUCUUCGCAUCGGUUGAAACCAGGCCAUCGUAAAAACUUUGCAAGAUCGAGAAAAGUUAAGACGAGCUUGUUAGAAGUUCACCGAAUGAAAUAUGAAUAAUAUACUCGAAGAAACUUUUCAAAAAUUACGAGCUCGCAAUCAACGAUUUGUAUGUACGAUUUGUAUCCCUUUUUUUAAUAGCAAUCCUUUCCAGAAUAUAAUAAAAUUUUAAAACGAACAAUUUGAGAGAUAAUCAUAUUGUUUUAAAAAAGAUUUUUGGGAUAUUAAACGUUACAUUCUUUUAAUUUUUCAUUAACAAUGAAUAUUUCUAAUGUAAUGAAAUUAUAAUAAAACUUAAGAUAUACUCAUUAAA